CCCCUAGAUGUUCUGGGCCGCACGCGCGCUACACUGAUGCAUGCAACAAGUCUUUUCCUUGGCCGAGAGGCCUGGGCAAUCUUUGAAUAUGCAUCGUGAUGGGGAUAGACGAUUGCAAUUAUUCGUCUUCAACGAGGAAUUCCUAGUAAACGCAAGUCAUCAGCUUGCAUUGAUUACGUCCCUGCCCUUUGUACACACCGCCCGUCGCACCUACCGAUUGAAUGGUCCGGUGAAGGCUUCGGAGGCGGCUUUCUCAAUGUUUAUUCGGCGAGACUGCUGCCAAAGUUGAAUGAACCUUACCAUUUAGAGGAAGGUGAAGUCGUANCA
rnacentral:rRNA from 1 species